UCCCCCUUUUUUACAAAAUACUCAAUAACUCAAAAAUGAAAUUUUGAAUUAUCACAAAAAAGUAUACAGAUCUUUAGAUCAAUAUAACAAAGAAGAGCGUAAAGUUUUAAGCAAUAAUCAUAAAUCGUUUUUGAGAUACGGCGCGACAUGUAAAAAACCCUCCCCCUUUUUUACAAAAUACUCAAUAACUCAAAAAUGAAAUUUUCAA
rnacentral:lncRNA from 1 species